rnacentral:snoRNA from 1 species
AAGACCUUACUUCAUAGGAUCAUUUCUAUAGUAAGCUCUUCACGAGAUCUACACACUACGUGUGAUCGUACCGGCCGCGAUGAGGAGUCGUGGCGCGGCGCCCUGAGCGUGAGGCGGGCGGCGGCUCUGGCCGCCAGCCCUCGAUGAUCGUUCACCGCUCUCCUGGGGAGCGGCGUGGGGCGCUGUCGCUGUCUGAGUGGC